AACUUUAUAGUUUUAUACUUAAAAUUUUUAAUUUGCAAUUAAAAGAAAAAAAUUUUUUAAAGUUA
rnacentral:tRNA from 1 species